rnacentral:rRNA from 1 species
AGCUCCAAUAGCGUAUAUUAAAGUUGUUGCAGUUAAAAAGCUCGUAGUUGGACUUGUGCACUCCCAUGAUGUCCAUUUUUGGUACGUUUGUGGGCGUGCAUCCUUGGGUGGAACCUGCGUGGCAUUAGGUUGUCGUGCAGGGGAUGCUCAUCGUUUACUGUGAAAAAAUUAGAGUGUUCAAAGCAGGCUUAGGCCGUUGAAUAUAUUAGCAUGGAAUAAUAAGAUAGGACCUUGGUACUAUUUUGUUGGUUUGCGCACCGAGGUAAUGAUUAACAGGGACGGUUGGGGGUAUUCGUAUUCCAUUGUCAGAGGUGAAAUUCUUAGAUUUUUGGAAGACGAACUACUGCGAAAGCAUUUACCAAGGAUGUUUUCA